rnacentral:rRNA from 1 species
AUACGAAGGGUGCUAGCGUUGUUCGGAAUUACUGGGCGUAAAGCGUACGUAGGCGGAUUAUUAAGUCAGAUGUGAAAUCCCGAGGCUCAACCUCGGAACUGCAUUUGAAACUGGUAGUCUAGAGAUCAGGAGAGGUUAGUGGAAUACCGAGUGUAGAGGUGAAAUUCGUAGAUAUUCGGUGGAACACCAGUGGCGAAGGCGACUAACUGGACUGAUACUGACGCUGAGGUACGAAAGUGUGCGGAGCAAACAGGAUUAGAAACCCCAGUAGUCC